CGCCGCGUGAGUGAUGAAGGUUUUCGGAUCGUAAAACUCUGUUGUUAAAGAAGAACAAGUGUUAGAGUAACUGUUAACACUUUGACGGUAUUUAACCAGAAAGCCACGGCUAACUACGUGCCAGCAGCCGCGGUAAUACGUAGGUGGCAAGCGUUGUCCGGAUUUAUUGGGCGUAAAGCGAGCGCAGGCGGUUUUGUAAGUCUGCUGUGAAAGCCCUCAGCUCAACUGAGGAAGUGCAGUGGAAACUACAAAACUUGAGUACAGAAGAGGAAAGUGGAACUCCAUGUGUAGCGGUGAAAUGCGUAGAUAUAUGGAAGAACACCAGUGGCGAAGGCGGCUUUCUGGUCUGUUACUGACGCUGAGGCUCGAAAGCAUGGGUAGCGAACAGGAUUAGAUACCCUGGUAGUCCAUGCCGUAAACGAUGAAUACUAGGUGUUGGAGGGUUUCCGCCCUUCAGUGCCGCAGCUAACGCAUUAAGUAUUCCGCCUGGGGAGUACGACCGCAAGGUUGAAACUCAAAGGAAUUGACGGGGGCCCGCACAAGUGGUGGAGCAUGUGGUUUAAUUCGAUGCUACGCGAAGAACCUUACCAGCUCUUGACAUCUUCUGCCAACCCAAGAGAUUGGGCGUUCCCUUCGGGGACAGAAUGACAGGUGGUGCAUGGUUGUCGUCAGCUCGUGUCGUGAGAUGUUGGGUUAAGUCCCGCAACGAGCGCAACCCUUAUUAUUAGUUGCCAGCAUUUAGUUGGGCACUCUAGUGAGACUGCCGGUGAUAAACCGGAGGAAGGUGGGGACGACGUCAAAUCAUCAUGCCCCUUAUGAGCUGGGCUACACACGUGCUACAAUGGAUGGUACAACGAGUCGCGAAACCGCGAGGUCAAGCUAAUCUCUUAAAGCCAUUCUCAGUUCGGAUUGCAGGCUGCAACUCGCCUGCAUGAAGUUGGAAUCACUAGUAAUCGUGGAUCAGCAUGCCACGGUGAAUACGUUCCCGGGCCUUGUACACACCGCCCGUCACACCAUGAGAGUUUGUAACACCCAAAGACGAUGGGGUAACCUUUAGGAGCUUUUCGUUC
rnacentral:rRNA from 2 species